ensembl:lncRNA
GGGAGCGAAGCCUGCAGGGUCCGCCUUCUCCCGGCCAGGCCAGCUCGGGCCUUUCCUCCGCCGCCGGGCCGCGUGCCGGCUCGAGGGGACGGACCUUGUUCUGUCUUCGCCCGAGGACUUUACACCCUCAGCGCCGGGGACCUGCUUCGAAACGUGCGACAACCUGGGAGGACGGAGCGGGCUCGCGCUCAGCAAGCUCUAGCGAGGAAAGACGCCGCGAGAACCCCAGGUGCUCCGCUCCCCAAGGGACAAAUGCAGCCGGGGACCCCUGCCAUACUGUUCCAUGCUGAAGGGCAGACACACCUGCUUCCCCCUCGUCACCUGUUCCCAACCUGUCACUGGCGGUUUUCCUUCCGAAUACCUGAGCGUAAGGAACUAGGGCCUGCUUAGUUUGGGGGAUGCUGGUGUUGGUUUUAUCAAAGGAUUGGCCCCUCACUCCGCAGUGAUUGCCCUUGAUAUUUGUGUAGCCUGUUCCCGAGGAACUCAAGGCCUCUGUCCCCGAUUUCUAGCAUUCGCUUUCUAGGGAAAACGUGACUGGAGCCAGGUUACUGGAGUCAGCCUUGGAGACUUGAACUGCUGGAGGGAAAUCUGUGACGGAGCUCAGGGAGACACAAAGCCACUCGGUCAUCAGACCCGCCCCCCUUUGGAUUCUGGAGCCCAUGUUCCCACAAGACUCCAGCCAUGCCGCUCAAAACUAUCCUGAAAUACUUUCAAACUUAGUGCUUGCUCAGGCGCCUUAGGGAGGUUUAAGUCCAGGGUGCAAAGGUCAACUUCAAAUUCUGCUGAAUUCUUUUAUCUCAACUCUUAGAACUCUCAGCCUCGGGUUAAGGUGCUGCCAAUUUUAAAGUAGACACUUCAGGUUGAAUAAGGUGAGAGUGUGUCGGUGAACACGAGAAUGAAAACCGGUAUGCACAGCUAGGGCAUAGUUAUUCACUGCUCCUCACUACCGCUAGCAAAACAGCACAUGUAGUGUCUUACAGAAGUUGGGCACAUCAGUGAUUAAAACGGUGCUUCCUAGUCAUAAACUGAAAGCACCAGGAACUCAGCUCUUCCUUGGUUCACUCCUUAGACAUUCAUUCCGCCUCCUGGUGGCGUCUGUCAGAAACGCUCUUCCUUUCCUGUUCCUACUGAAUGGGGUAGGCUCUAACACAGCGAUUAUAAGUACAUUGGAAAAAUAGCCAGCCAUGGUAGUGCACACCGGUAACCCCAGCAUCCUGGGAGGCUGGGGUGGGAGGAUUGCAAGUUCAAGCCCAGCCUUGUUAACUUAGCGAGACCUUGUCUCAAAAUGAAAAAUGAAAAAAGGGCUGGGGUCUAGCUCAGUGCAAAGGCCCCGGGCUCAGUUCCCAGUACCACACAAAUAAAUGACACACUGGAAACAGUGACAGCCUCAGGGUUACUUACGGAAAUUACACAAAUCCCUCUCCCGGCAACAUCAGAGUACUUCUUUAUAUAAUACCAAUUAAAACCAAUCCUCUCAUAAGGCAUUUGGGAUUUGUUUCUAUUGUCUACACUCCUUCCAAGCUUAAUUUCCAUUUCUCACUUUGCCUUUUCUCCUUCACCCCACUAAUCUCAACUCCUGUGCUACUGUGCAUACACCACUGCCACACACCUCUUCAGGGGUUUAAAAUACUCCAGACUUCAGGGGGAGUCCCAUGAGCAGCUCUAUUUUUAAGCUAUCUAUGAGGUCCUGAAAUGCCUGUACCCCUUGGCUAUAUUUACUCUUUCCACAUCUUCCUCCACCACAUAGCAAUGAGAUGACCCUGUGAAUCAAAAUGACACCCACACUCGGUCUGGGAAGGGAGGCGCUGAAGACGAUGAGAGGCUCUGUGGGACAAUACCGUGCUGCUCACGGAGUAGCGAGGAGCCCAGACUACUGGGAUUAGAGUGGUGCCAAACCAAUCAGUGUACUGGUUUAGUGACCACACACCAUCCCAGCAUCACACACUCUAGAUUCAGCCACCACUGAAAAAGCCACCUGAGGCUUUGGGGGACAUCUAGACUCAAACCAUAACAGCUGCUUUCCUUGCUCUUUUCUGAAUUAGUGGUAAGUAAAGCAAGACCUUUCUGUACCCACUGACCACAUAGCUACUUGGAUAAGGUUGAUGAAUGUCUCAUAUUGAAGUUUAAAUUUCUCCUCAUUUUGUUAACAAUCCUUGGUUCAUUCUAAAUUUGUAUUUCAAAAUACUUGUCAGAAAUUCUGUUUUCUGUAAGUUGAUUUGUGUCUGCCACGUCAUUCCUUAACUAAAGAAAUGGAGAAAUUUGACUACAGAUGGUUUGCCUUUGUGUUUUUCUGGGUGGGAAGUAUUGUUGCUAAACUGUUUUUCUUUUUCCAUUCUAGAGGCCUUGAGCAAUAGAGUCAAGAUAAGAUGUAUAAACUUCUGACUAGCUAUUAUUGUAGACAGCUAAUUUAAUUAAAAUAUUAUAGGCAGUCAGACAGAGCUGGGCCCUCAAAGAAUUAGUGCAGAAGACAAUUGUGGCUGGAAGCAAACGCACUGAAGGCCAGUCUUCAAGACAAAGAGAACUGACUAUACCCACAUACUUCCCCUAGGGAUAAACAGUGUGACUUAUAUUCUAAAUAGGCAUCAAUCACCUUAAACCAUUCCUUCCAGGAAAGGUCUUUUUUCAUUCCAUUUGUUCAUUAUGC